UACCCUUGACAUACAGUGAAUCAUUUAGAGAUAGAUGAGUGCCGUAAGGAACACUGAUAC
rnacentral:rRNA from 1 species